rnacentral:tRNA from 1 species
GGAGAAGUGGCAGAGUGGCCGAAUGUGACUGACUCGAAAUCAGUUGUACUCGAAAGGGUACCGGGGGUUCGAAUCCCUCCUUCUCCGCCA